rnacentral:rRNA from 1 species
UGGGGAAUAUUGCACAAUGGGCGCAAGCCUGAUGCAGCCAUGCCGCGUGUAUGAAGAAGGCCUUCGGGUUGUAAAGUACUUUCAGCGGGGAGGAAGGUGUUGUGGUUAAUAACCUCAGCAAUUGACGUUACCCGCAGAAGAAGCACCGGCUAACUCCGUGCCAGCAGCCGCGGUAAUACGGAGGGUGCAAGCGUUAAUCGGAAUUACUGGGCGUAAAGCGCACGCAGGCGGUCUGUCAAGUCGGAUGUGAAAUCCCCGGGCUCAACCUGGGAACUGCAUCCGAAACUGGCAGGCUUGAGUCUUGUAGAGGGGGGUAGAAUUCCAGGUAUAGCGGUGAAAUGCGUAGAGAUCUGGAGGAAUACCGGUGGCGAAGGCGGCCCCCUGGACAAAGACUGACGCUCAGGUGCGAAAGCGUGGGGAGCAAACA